rnacentral:rRNA from 1 species
AAACCAACAGGGAUUGCCUUAGUAACUGCGAGUGAAGCGGCAAGAGCUCAAAUUUGAAAUCUGGCACCUUCGGUGUCCGAGUUGUAAUUUGUAGAAGCAACUUUGGAGUUGGUCCUUGCAUAUGUUCCUUGGAACAGGACAUCAUAGAGGGUGAGAAUCCCGUUCAUGGUGGGGAUCCCAAUUCUUUGUAAAGUGCUUUCGAAGAGUCGAGUUGUUUGGGAAUGCAGCUCUAAGUGGGUGGUAAAUUCCAUCUAAAGCUAAAUAUUGGCGAGAGACCGAUAGCGAACAAGUACAGUGAUGGAAAGAUGAAAAGAACUCCGAAAGGAGAGUGAAAAAGGACGUGAAAUUGUUGAAAGGGAAGUGCUUGAGAUCAGUCUUAGGUUUUAGUGAUCAAUUUUCCUUUUGGUAAAUGCACUCACUGUUGCCUAGGCCAACAUCAGUUUUGGAGGUAGGAUAAUGGCAUUGGAAUGUGGCUCUUUCGGGAGUGUUAUAGCCUUUGUUGAUACUGCUUCUGAGACUGAGGUCUGCGCUUUUUGCUAGGAUGUUGGCAUAAUGAUCUUAAGCAGC